rnacentral:sRNA from 1 species
AGGCCCAUGGGGAGACGUGUGUGCCUGUGAGCAGAGUUCUGGCUGGACUAGGUAAGUCAGAGGAGAGUGUGUCAUGAAUAUUCGUUCCUUUGAGGUUUUCUGUUGUGGUUUGGGAUGGAUCCCGGUGCUGACUGUCAUUCCCUAUUCAGUGCUCUUUUGCAGUGAAUGUUCCAAAGGCACGGCGUCCUUUAGGACCCAGACUGCUUGGGGACUGGGGCUUUCGGGGAAGACCACUUGAAUAGUGAGCAUCUCCUAGCUGGCUGUUACUUUGCUUUGCAGCUUGGUACAACGGGGCAGGCUGGAGAGUGAGGGAAAUGUGGCCCCAGUGCGGAUCAGCGAGAGGCUCCAUCUGCAAGUGUACCAGCUGGUGCUGCCAGGCUCUGAACUGCUGCUGUGGCCCCAACCUUCCUCUGAGGGCCCAAGUCUCACCCAGCCUGGGCUGGACAAAGAGGCAGCUGUAGCAGUGGUGACAGAAGUGGAGUCUGCUGUACAGCAGGAAGUGGCCUCCCCUGGGGAGGAUGCAGCAGAACCUUGCAUAGAUCCUGGUUCCCAGUCACCCUCUGGCAUCCAGGCAGAGAAUAUGGUGAGCCCUGGACUUAAGUUCCCAACCCAGGACCGACUUUCCAAGGAUAGCCAGCCACUUGGCCCAUUGCUUCAGGAUGGUGACAUGGAUGAGGAAUACCCGGCCCAGGCACAGAUGCCACCUGAA